AGCCUAGCAGCAAGUUCCUUUAGCAUAUUAUAUUACCUAAUAGAAGGAUAAGCCAUCACCUGUAAUGUAAAUAGCUUAAUGGUUCUUUUGAUGAUGACCAAGGCCAAGAGAAAAACUGUGUCCUCCUGUAAGAAGACAUGGUCCAUGUCUUUAGGAGGUAUAUCUAUAACGUGGCACAUUUUUAUUUUGCCACAAAUGGUCCCCUAAUUUCUUGGACUGAUGUUUGUGUACACAACUUUAAUUUUCUGAGGAAGACAGGCAGGUGUUCUUUGCCUGUUGGCUAUAUCUUCCCAUAAGAAGCCUAGUAACAUCCAUGAACCAAAUAUAAUUUGACAUAAUUUAUGCCUUUAUUAACUCCUACAGAAUGAUAUUACUUCAUGCUGGCAUGUCAGUGUUUCCAGCACGAUACUCUCAUUCCUAGAAAUUUUACCUUCUGAAGUUCAAGUAUUGAGGAAUGAGUUUAAAAAUUUUCUAAGUGCCUUAGAUUUGGGGAAAAUGCAACUUAUUACAAGGUCAGCUUUUUACUCUUUUUUGAUAUUUGGUGGAACUGCAUAUUGCCAGUAUGCAGUAUCUGAUAAUGUUCAAAUAACAGGCCAAAAUCAUAUCUGAAAACUCUGACUCUUUUUGGCCAAACUGCUUGUUUCCAUUCUAUUUCAAUUUUUGCAAAUAAUGUUUCAUCAUUAUUUGCUGCUAUUUGUUCCCCUGGUGAUGUACAUUCAGGAGAUAUUGGUCAAAAAAUGUUUUAAGUGAUUGCACCUUUAAUCUAUUUUAUGUAGUACUUAUAUCUGUCUUAAUAUUCCAGCAUUCAGAAUUUGGAAGGAUGGAGUGUGUAAGUUUCUUAUUGCUGUCAUAACACAUUACCACAAAUUUAGUGGCUUAAAAUAACACAAACUUAUUAUCUUAUGGCUCAUAGGUCAGAGGUCUCACUGGGCUAAAAUAACUUGUUGACAGAGCUACAUUCCUCCGUGGGCUAUAUGGGAGAAAAGAAUCCUUUUCUUUCCCUUUCCUAGCUUCUCGAGAUUGCCUGACUUCUUUGGCUUGUGGCCCCUUCCUGUCUUCAAAACUAGCAAUGGUGGGUCAAAUUGACCCUGUUUCAUUGUCACACCUCUCUUUCUUUCUCACUACAGCAAAAAAAUGUUGUCCACCUUCGAAGACUCAUGUGAUUAGAUUGGGCCCACCUGGAUAAUCCAUUUUGCACUUCCUAUCUCAAGUUCCAUACCCUAGGUGACAUCUGCAAAGUAUCUUUUACCAUACAAGAUAUCAUAUUAACAGGUUUUGGAGAAGAGGAGCUGGCAAUCCUUGGAGAAGGAGUGGGGCUUAGCACAUGGCUUUUCAGAGUUCUUUCUCAUACCAAUAUUCGAAGGAUUAAUAGCAGUCACCAGCUUUAAAAGUCUCCAAACUUUUAAAAUCAUUCAUGAAAAUAGUUUAAAAUGUUUGAUUAUGUACUCCCUAUAUAUGUGCAUUUCAUUCUAAACUAUACUAUUAUCUAUACUAAUAGUUUACACGCUAAUAAUAAAGCUUCAUUUCUUUUUAAUCUAUAAGUAAAUAAAAGCAGAUCUUCUAAUGGUUUCUUUGUACUCGAGUGCAUCAUCUUGUGUGUUCCGAAGGCUGUGUGCACCUUAUGCUGGAGAAGAAGGAAAAAAAAAUGAAGUUUGGGUUAACUUGUGUGAAUGUGGCUCUUGACUCUUUCAGACACAUAAGGCUUCAAGGUGAGGAAGGGAUGCAAAGACUUUGGGGGAGUCUUUGAUAGUUUUUGAAAGUGAGGAAGAAAGAUAUUUGUUUUGCUUACACCAUUACUGCUGUUUGUGGUUACAGAGGGUAACAGUGUAGAAUGUAACAUGCCCAAAGCUGUCCUGAAAGAUGAGAGCUGAAAAUAAUAGAAUUGGGAAACAAAUGCCAUUUUAUAAAAGAUUAGAAAGGGGUUGUUUACCAGAAAGCUCCAAAACAUGAGUUAGGUACUUGUUUAGAAUAAGGCUAUAUCUCAUCAGAAAGCUACUCAUGUCAAGGUACUUGAAAAUUCUAAGAAACCAAUUGUUCACUGACCAUUUUGAACACUAGUAGCAAGGUCCCUGUGAAACUAGGCUGAGAAAAGAGGUGAUUCUUCUAAGUUUACCUUAAAUCAUAUUUUCAACUUUGAGAAACAUCUCUAUUAUACCAGCCACACUUGAUCUCUGUGGCAUGUAGGCUUAUUACAGUGUAGGAAAACCAGAAAUUGUAACACAAGCCGACAAUGUAAGUCCUCUUGCGUUAAAUUUCGAGAUGUUUUCAGAACAGUCAGCCUAGAAAAUGGCAUAUUGCAAAGACAUGCUGACACACCUCUGAAAUCAAAAAGAGCUUCUGCUGGCAAAUGAAAGUAGGUUGCCACAAAAAUGUACAUCAAUUAGGAAACAAGUCAAUGAGUGUUUGCCAACUGCCGUAAGUGUCCUAGAGGCAGUCCGGGCAGUAUAUUUUUAUUUGAUUUGCCCCAGGCCACUUCCAUUCUCUUCCUGAAAGAUGGACAGGUAGUCCUCUUAAAUCCUUCGCUUAGAGUUUCCAUCAAUGAUCUCAAAAUGUAUCUGCUAACGUGUCAAUGAUUACUGUACAAAGAAGUGAACCAUUAUAGCUAAAUUUCCCCACUGAAACCCAAUCUAGGGAUUAGCAACAAUAGGGAAUCUGUUUUAUUUGCAUUUAAUUUGUACCUUCACACUAUUAUCUGCAAUGUUUUAGUUUCAGGAAAUGUGGUCUCAGGCUAUUAUAACCACAUUUCAUGCUGCUGUUGCACUGUUAUUUGAUCUCUAUGGUUAGAAAUGACUUACUGAAAAAAUAAAGCUGGCAUACUUUAUUUUAAUUAUACCAGUGCAGUGUCUAAAUAAAAAAUGUACUUUAUAUUUAAUGUGGAGCACAGAUUAACAGUUUUAUGGGACAUAAAAUCUAUCUAUAUCAUUUUCUAUUUACACAUCAGUUAUAUAUCUUUCUCUCGGCAAAACAAAUGCCUAUGGUGUGAAAACAAGGAAGGAGAACAUCGAAGUUACAAUCACAUGGGCAGUAAAUAACAUCUUAAUUGGUCUGGAAUGCUGGAGUUUGAUUUUUUUUCUGCCUGGCUUUUAUUUAUUGAUCUCUAUAGCUUAUUUAUCUUCCCAGUGAUUUGUACAAGUCUAUCUUCUUUCCUCAAUAAGCCAGUCUAUGGUGGUUUUAUGUUGCAAAUCCCAUCUGGGGAAAUGGUCUAGUGAGAGAAGUGGAGUUGCUCCUGGAAAAGCCAUUAUUUAAAAGCUUUUGUAGAGGUAAGGGUAACUUCUCAGUUUUUUCACUUUGUCUCCUGGAAAAAAGAAGGAAAGAAAAAGUGCGGCUAUUAUGAAGUUGCCACCCAAUGUAUGUUUCAACAAUUCUUUACUCUCCACUUGUUUGGCAGCAGUAGGAAAACAAAGAAGGAUUUAGUGUACACUGGAAAAUGUCUUUAGGUUUUCCUGUGUAUGAUUUAGUUCCAAGUGAAGGUAGCAGACAGGAAUGGAUUGUGUAUGUCUAAUACAUCAUAUGUAAACCCUCGAUUUUUUUCUGUGGGCAUUUCUACAGCUCCAUUCCUAAUAUCUUUUUUAAAAUAGCACUUUAGGAUAAACUACACUUCACAUGGCACAUUAUGCUCCAAAGUGCAGUUGAGAACUGGCGAAUGUAACCGUUCUCAGGAAAGCUGGUUAGAAAAAAACAAAAACAAAAAAACCCCACCACUUUUUCUAGUAUAUAGAUAUCUGGAGCUGAAGUCAACCCUGGAAAAUUAGUGUUUUUUUUCCCUCCUAAAUCGAUGAUUCCAUAGUUUGUCAAAUCAGCACUUCCAGUGUUUGUCUUGAUCUCACAGAAUAUUAGAAGAGCGCUCUGAAAGAUUUUCUCUGUUGAUAGCCGAGGGAAAAACAAGUUUACAGAUGGCAAUACUGUACUUAUGCAAGUGAUGUUUUGCAAAGUGAUUCUAGAAAAUAUUUGAAAAGGAGACUCUGAUAUCCCAUCAUCACCCUAAUAUAACCUUAACUGCCUUUAAAUGAGCUAAUGAAUUUGGGGCAGGUCUUUUAGAGAAUGCAUUUGCAUUCGACAUAAUUAGUGGAAGGCAGAUUUUACUACAUCCAGGGGGAAUCUCGAGACAACUGCUUGGCCGACUAUUAGUGCUUAAUUUCUGAAUGUCAAACCCUGCACAUCUUAAUUUCUAGAGAAUAAGCUCAAUUGAACUUGCUUCCCAGUUAUGCAAAAACUGCUCAGAUAAAACCAAGUGGACACCAAUGUAAUGAAUGUGGUUAUUAAAUUGUUUCAAUUGAAAGAACCCUAUUCUUACACCAUCAUAAUGGGAACAAUUUAUCCCCACUGAUCGGCCUGUCUCUCUCUUUCUCUCUCUCUCACUCUCUCUUUUUCUGAGCUCUCUUUGAUCUUGAAGCAUAUUGCGGUGGUGUGUCCUAUUGAAAAGCGAAACUGGGGCAAUUUUAAUGCUUUUGUACCUUACCAGUGCUCUAUUUUUUCGCUGUUUAAAAAUAGCUGUUAAUUAUAAGUGCAGUUUAAAUGUCUCAAGUGACCCAGAAAUGCAGGUUGGAAUGAGACAGAUUGUGUGUCUUAUAUGAAACAGAUGUACUUUCACAGAGCAUUCUGAAUUCAGUCUUCCUCUGUAUCCUCCUCUUGAGUUAUUUCAAUCAGGUAUUGAGCUGGUCUAGCACUGUGCUCUAAAACUGCACACAUUUGAACAGAGUGAAAGGAAAACAGAUCUUUUUUUGUUUGUUUGCACCGCAAAGAAAAGCCUCCUUUGUGUAUCAAUCCCUACUAUGUGGGUGAAUGUUGUGCUGUUGGUGUUAGAUGAUGGGGCAGGGCCACUUUCCUGGCCAGAAAAACCAUAUGAUUUUCUAGAGCUCCACACUAUCUGUCUCUUGGGUGAGGGCCUUUGUGUUAAAAGAACACUGAAGGAGUGAUAAACACAUCUCUUGAAGCUGAUUCAAAUUACCUGUCUACUAGAUUUUGAGGAUCUUUGAUUCUUCACUGGUUUCAGAAACUUGGGGUUUUUAAAUUCCUUGCUAACUUGUAACUAUCCUCUAGAUGGUUACAUUGCUGGUGAUAUUUUGGGGACCAAGGCUUUAGUAAGUCAGGUAAUAACUCAGCAAAAUCAUAUUAUGUAUUUAUUCUACUGCAGCCUGAACUAAUUGGUACUUGUUUAAUUACAUGUACUUGUAUGGUGCAGGUUUGAAGGUGAUUCUAUUUAGUGGAGUUCCAAGAAGUGAUUUCAAAAUUGAAUUUCGAUUACAGUGCAUUCCAGCAGUUUGAUGAUCUUUUCCAGGUUUCUUAGGAUCUUUGGUUCACAUCCCAAAGCCACCUGAAUCUGAAUAUUUGAUUCAGUGAGGGAAUUCAAGAUUCAAUCCUCUUCCUCCACUUGGAUUCAGAUCCGUGGUCCAGUCUCCCUUGAUAGCUGGAUGAAAGCAUGUCUCAGAGGAGUGAGGGAAGUUUAUAGGCAUUGGUUCCCUAUGUGCUUGCCGCUAGACAUGUCCAACUGAGGAGUUCUUCAUUGCCAAAGCAGUGGCAUUGAACACUGUCAUGGUGUGAGCUUAAGGACUGAUUUUUUUAAACUCUUUUUAGAAAAUUUGUAGAUGUUUUAGUCAAAUUCUAAAUGUAGGCACUGAUUUGAACAUUUUUCAUAGCUAAUUUUUCAUUUUAAUUAGUAAUUUUUACUUGAUUGAUUUAAUUCUAAUAUAAUCAUUCUGAUUCUAAUCAUUCUAAUUUGUCCAAUAAGAUUUAUUCCAUUUAGUGUUUAUAAUCUCAUGACAGCCCAAAGCAUUUGGGUUACGUUUUGUGACAAGUGAAUGGUUUAUUUUCAGGAAGAGGGGUAGUUAUGGCCUCGGGUGAAUUUAAGAGAAUCUAUAUCAUAAAGAGUUGGUGCUGAAAAAAAAAUUCAGAAAGAGACAUUUUAAAAAUUCAUAUCUUAUAAAAAUAUUCCAUUCACUGAAAUACAUUUAUGUUGCUACUAUAAGAGCCAUGAUAACACAUUUGAAACCACAAUACAAAUAAUACAUUUCUAAGUCAAGUGACUCUGAAAAGUAGAACAAUUAGGAAAGGCAGUCUCCUGUGUUCAGUCUUUGGACCCCAUUCAUCCUCGUAAGAGUGGGCC
rnacentral:lncRNA from 1 species